rnacentral:tRNA from 1 species
GGCACUGUAGCUCAGUUGGUAGAGCAGCGGACUGAAAAUCCGCGUGUCGCCGGUUCGAUCCCGGCCGGUGCCACCA